AGAUUCCUAACCUCAAACCCCUGUAUUUUUUAUUUACGUUUUAUCUGAGACAAAACAAAAAUAUGUGUGUUGUUCCGCCCGGAAGCAACCUUUGCGCCGUAUAAUCUGUUGAUUUAUUUUUCCUUGUCGUGAUACUAUUCCGGAUUAAGUUUUUAGUCGCCGUUGCCGUCUGUGGACAUGUCCGAAAACGUCACACAAAAAUGGAGAAGAGAAUAGCGCUGCUCCGUGCCGGCGCGGCGGUACGAAUCAUGAGAAGUGCGAGAAGAAAAAAAAUGGCGAGUAGACGCCUGUUGAUCAAUUUCGCUGUGCCGAAAAUGAAUAUUUUUGCAGGAUGCAGUGCGAGUGGAAUAAAGGCGUUAAAUAUCAGUGAUCCAGAUGCAGCGCGAAAGGACAAAAGACGAUAGACAACAAUAAGUGAUUCCGAUGGAAGGCGAGCGGACUGAGUUUGAGUGACGACUACUAGAUGCAGCGCUAGUGGACAACUUGGAAGCAUCCGGCGGCUUGGCGAAAAUAAGCACCAUUUAUCUGUUCCUGUUAGGUUUGAUCUCGCAGUUAUAUUAUACGAUAUGGCCCCAGGAGUAGCGGGACGGAAAUGGCAGUCACAGGUUCAAAAGAAUUGGUAUGCCCCAUGGGGCAACUGUUAAACCUUUCACUGUCUAUUGCAUUGUGUUCGAAUCUUGUGGAAUAAAUUACGUAAUGAAAAAAUCGAGUAUGU